rnacentral:misc_RNA from 1 species
ACAUGCUAAUAUUUGGUAGCCUAUAUCAAUGAUUGUCUUUAUGUUAACAUAUUGUUCUGCAAUAGCCAUAUUACUUACUAAUUUUAUAAUUAACUAAAGAGAUUAGAAGGCUUGGUUAUAAUUGAAACGGUAAUUUUUAAUUUAGUCCCUGAGAUUUGAUAAAAAUGACAAUUUAAUACAUCUAUGUUUUAUAAGAAACAAGUUAGUCUUUGAGGUGUGUUUCUGUUAAUAAAAUUCUACUUCUAUUAAAAUUCACUAUCAACGAGUUAAAACCCAUAAUAGUUUAG